CUACAGAGGGUGCAAGCGUUAUUCGGAAUUACUGGGCGUAAAGCGCGCGUAGGCGGAUGAUUAAGUCAGUUGUGAAAGCCCUGGGCUCAACCUAGGAACUGCAUCUGAUACUGGUCGUCUAGAGUUUAAGAGAGGGAAGUGGAAUUCCAGGUGUAGCAGUGAAAUGCGUAGAUAUCUGGAGGAACAUCAGUGGCGAAGGCGGCUUCCUGGCUUAAAACUGACGCUGAGGUGCGAAAGCGUGGGUAGCGAACGGGAUUAGAUACCCGAGUAGUCC
rnacentral:rRNA from 1 species